UAUCAUGAUGAAUAAGAGCUCUGCUCGAAUAUAAACCCAGCUCGCCGAAUGUCCUCAUUUUAAAACUCACGAGAGGGCAUUUUGAGAGAAAAAACUUUAACUGAAACG
rnacentral:snoRNA from 1 species